CCGUUCAAACUUGUUCGCUCAGUUGCUGGAGCUGACGCUCGCUUGUGUAGCGUUUCGAAGUUUAGUAAGUUUAUUUCUUGUCCAGCGUCGUGCGUAUGUUUUCUUGCAAUCUGGCGGUCAACUGGACAGUUCCGGCAUCCUGUCCAAUACGCAAUGAGCGAUAUCGUUAAGCGUGACAACAAGCGCUGCUGUAGCGGGGAGGCAACGUCCCUUAUUUGUUCUCUGUACUUAAGGUUUCAGGGGUGAGUUUGCUUUCUUUCUUGUCCUCUGCUUUCAGAUUUGUGCCUGCUUGUGUUCGCAAUCGCAUGCAUGCGAUAGAGCUCUGGAGCACAGCAGCUGAAAAUGGUUUUCUUUCUCUGCAGAAUGAUGUUGCGAAUGAGUGACGAGCACAAUGGAGAUGUGGGACUGACCUAAAUGUAUUAACAAGAUUGUCGUUUGGUUACGUUCGAUGCUGUCUGUUCAGUGUACUGGCGACGAACAAUAUGGAGAUAUGGGACUGACGUGCUGGCAGAGUCAUGGAAUGAAGGUCACGAUUACUACGCCUGGCCUGUAAGCCAUUUGUUGGCACUUCAGCUGGGCUGGAGCUACGAUCACAUUUUAGUGAAAUAUGGGUGCAGUGACCAUUUUGCCACGGGCAGCAUGUUUAUGAUAGUUGCAUCUUUUUAAACAGUGCGUACGUUGAGAAGUUCUUUCGUUUGAUAUCUGGCUGUCAAAAGCCGCACACAUUAUGCUGGCGCGGGUACCUCAUGGUUUCAUGUAUUUUAUAGGUGUUCCAGGCUCAUGGAAUGGAGGUGACGAAUACAACGGCUGUCCUGUGGGUCAUUUGUUGGCACUUCGGCUUAGCUGCAGCAACGAUCCUAUUUCAGUGUACCUCGGAAACGUUCCUUCCUGCUACCCACAGCCGUCUACCACCCCACACGUGUGUAAAGUACUGGUUGCAUUGGGAGCACCCAAGCACGGACCCAGAGACAGAGGCAAUACUUACAGCUACCAGUGAUAUAAGUGCUGCGAUUUGUGUACAUGUACAUUACUAUCUGCUUUGGAAGAGUACCAAGAUUUGCUGGUACGUGACUGUGCAAUAAGGGGAAGUGCUCACAAUGUCUGCUGACUUGUCGACAUGUUUGGAAGUCAGUGUUUGCCCGGUAUGUUCAUAGAAAUAAAUCUUGUACCAACA